rnacentral:rRNA from 1 species
GACGAACGCUGGCGGCGUGCUUAACACAUGCAAGUCGAACGAAGUGGCGAACGGGUGAGUAACGCGUAAUCAACCUGCCCUUCAGAGGGGGACAACAGUUGGAAACGACUGCUAAUCCCGCAUACUGAAGGAGGGGAUUGCGUCUGAUUAGCUAGUUGGGGGGGUAACGGCCCACCAAGGCGAUGAUCAGUAGCCGGGCUGGGGGGGAGAACGGCCACAUUGGGACUGGGACACGGCCCAAGCUCCUACGGGAGGCAGCAGUGGGGGAACGUCCGAAAUGGGCGAAAAGCUGACGGAACAACGGCGGGUGAGAGAUGACGGCCUUCGGGUUGUAAAGCUCUGUUAAGCGGGACGCGGUACCGGAAUAGAAAGCCACGGCUAACUACGUGCCAGCAGCCGCGGUAAUUC